UCUUGUGCUAGUCUCGGCGCAGUCAAGUCCAUCAGGAACGUGGCUGUCUGCCUCUGUAACGAAUUAAAGUUAAGUGUUGUUCUAUCAAGCUUUUGUUUCUUCCUGGUGUACAUUGUGCAAAUUAGACGAAUGCUGUUGUGGCUGUUCACUCCGGACCGGUACCAUAGCAGCUGGCGUCCUCUCAUUGGCAACUUCAGUUGAAGUCAUCAUUGGAAGAACAGAAAACACUUUAUUUUUCCGAUUUAUUUCGCUUAGGGACGAUAAUCUGGAUUAUUAUUUAUGGAUCGGUUGGUCGAUGUUGUCGAUGUUUACCACAGUUCUUGUUCUGUUGUUCACUUGGAAGAACCGUAUGCGCUGGCUGCUGUUGCCCUGGCUCCUGAUGCAAAUUGCGUCGUUGAUGGCCUUGUGUUCGUGUGUGCUAUAUUCGGGUGUCAUGAUCCUGUGUUACUACACCUAUGUUACUACACCGAGGCCCCCA